AACCCUCAACAGUUGGCACUUGAAGCGGAACUUUUCGAACACAAUAGACUUUUGUGACCGGCGCGUGAAAAUAAAAACAAACACGGUCAGCCAUAUCCUAUCGUUGUUGGAUAAGGAUACCGUGGGGGAUUUUUAACAACAAAGCCAAACAUCACACCCACCACUUUAACUCCCUUGGACAAACACUCACCGAAAAAGGCGCGGCGGCGGCUCCACUUCUCACCUCAACAAUCUUUCAACACUCGAAAGAUGGUUAAUAUUACGUGGAUUGAUUUUCGCAAGAGUUGCCAAAACCGAAUUUGGGCACGCCCGGUAAUUUAUCCGAAAAUUACUUUACGAAAACCAUAUGUUGGACGAGAGAAACGAUAACGAUGUUUAACGGAGGGGAAUUGCCACGUUGUGCGUAGAAUGUUCCAUUUUUGUGGUACUUUAGGCUAUUGUACUCGCCCUCGAACUGUUAUUCAACGUUACGCAAUAGUUAUUCAGAUUUGUACAUUUAGGUCGUGUGAUUUAUAGCUUCUGGUUUACAGGUAAUUUUCUUUUUCAAGGUAGAGGUUCACAACGGACGAUAAUCAUAUAUAUUUAUUAAACGACGAAAAACUGCAAACAGUUUCUUUUUAUUUA